UGAGCUUCUACGAAAACAGUU
ensembl:piRNA 21ur-1303 ncRNA